CUACGGGGGGCUGCAGUGUGGAAUAUUGCACAAUGGGCGCAAGCCUGAUGCAGCCAUGCCGCGUGUGUGAAGAAGGCCUUCGGGUUGUAAAGCACUUUCAGCGGGGAGGAAGGCGGUGAGGUUAAUAACCUCAUCGAUUGACGUUACCCGCAGAAGAAGCACCGGCUAACUCCGUGCCAGCAGCCGCGGUAAUACGGAGGGUGCAAGCGUUAAUCGGAAUUACUGGGCGUAAAGCGCACGCAGGCGGUCUGUCAAGUCGGAUGUGAAAUCCCCGGGCUCAACCUGGGAACUGCAUUCGAAACUGGCAGGCUAGAGUCUUGUAGAGGGGGGUAGAAUUCCAGGUGUAGCGGUGAAAUGCGUAGAGAUCUGGAGGAAUACCGGUGGCGAAGGCGGCCCCCUGGACAAAGACUGACGCUCAGGUGCGAAAGCGUGGGGAGCAAACAGGAUUAGAUACCCGGGUAGUC
rnacentral:rRNA from 1 species